GUCCCUGUUGGCGCAGCGGAGAGAGAGCCGUGCACUGGGAGCGUGGGUUCGAGUCCCGUCAAGGGACA